CCCUGCCAUUUGUACACACCGCCCGUCGCACCUACCGAUUGAAUGGUCCGGUGAAAUCUUUGGACUGCGACAUUGUUUUGUUCAUUCAAAACGCUGUUGCGGGAAGUUGAUUAAACCUUACCAUUUAG
rnacentral:rRNA from 1 species